CUCAAUGAUGAGUUCUACUCUACAUUGAAAGCAAAGGCAUCAUCCAUACAGGGUUGUUUUCCUCAGAUUAGGAAGGGAAACUUCAGGUUCAAUGGAGUUACUUAUGACUUGGACUCGUUUCUUCACGCCCUAGGUUUGCAAAGGUAAUAUGACUCGAACGACUCAAGUGACUCGGAUGCUCAACAGGUACUAAUGGGUGAAGUACACUAUCCAAGAAGGACAUUACCACCAUCAGACCAACCUCAACAACAUCCCAUGUGUGAUGUACACUAUCCAAGAAGGACAUUACCACCAUCAGACCACCAUCAAC